GACGAACGCUGGCGGCGUGCUUAACACAUGCAAGUCGAACGGAAAGGCCUUUUCGGCGGUACUCGAGUGGCGAACGGGUGAGUAACACGUGGGUGAUCUGCCCUGCACUCUGGGAUAAGCCUGGGAAACUGGGUCUAAUACCGGAUAGGACCGCACUUUAGUGUGUGUGGUGGAAAGUUUUUUCGGUGUAGGAUGAGCCCGCGGCCUAUCAGCUUGUUGGUGGGGUAAUGGCCUACCAAGGCGGCGACGGGUAGCCGGACUGAGAGGUUGGUCGGCCACAUUGGGACUGAGAGACGGCCCAGACUCCUACGGGAGGCAGCAGUGGGGAAGAUUGCACAAUGGGCGCAAGCCGGAUGCAGCGACGCCGCGGGGGGGAUGACGGCCUUCGGGUUGGAAACUCCUUUCGCCAGGGACGAAGCGUUUUGUGACGGUACCUGGAGAAGAAGCACCGGCUAACUACGUG
rnacentral:rRNA from 1 species